ACUUUGCAACAGAAAGUAUUUCAGGUACCAGGGUGAUACAGAGAAGAUUAGCAUGGCCCCUGUGCAAGGAUGACACGCAAAUUCAAGUACCAGGGUACAGGAAU